rnacentral:rRNA from 1 species
ACGGGUGAGUAACACGUGGGCAACCUACCUGUAAGACUUGGGAUAACUCCGGGAAACCGGGGCUAAUACCGGAUAACUCAGUUCCUCGCAUGAGGAACGGUUGAAAGGUGGCUUUUUGCUACCACUUACAGAUGGACCCGCGGCGCAUUAGCUAGUUGGUGAGGUAACGGCUCACCAAGGCGACGAUGCGUAGCCGACCUGAGAGGGUGAUCGGCCACACUGGGACUGAGACACGGCCCAGACUCCUACGGGAGGCAGCAGUGGGGAAUUGUUCGCAAUGGGCGCAAGCCUGACGACGCAACGCCGCGUGGAGGAUGAAGGUCUUCGGAUUGUAAACUCCUGUUGCCCGGGACGAAACGCCUCGACCUAAUACGUCGAGGUCUGACGGUACCGGGUGAGGAAGCCCCGGCUA